UUGAAAGGGAAACGAUUGAAGUCAGUCAUACCAACGGGAAAUCAACCUUUUGAGCUCGGUCUCGUGGGUUUUGAAGAGUUUCAAAGCCUUCGGAUUCGCGAGAUUAGGAUCUCUUGGUGUACUUUUUCGUACGGUUAGUCAACAUCGGUUUUGAAUGUCAUAAAAUGACCGGAGGAAUGUAGCUUCGAUCUCGUAUUGAAGUGUUAUAGCCUUUGGUAGAUGUGGUGUUUGAGACCGAGGAUUGCAACGGAUACCCUUCAGGGCUAUUCGUCUGAUCUCUGAUACGUUGCCUUGAUGUUGAAAGCUUGCUUAUGAUGUUAGGGUAUUACGGUCAAAAGGUUAGAACGAAUUACAUUCGUUAAGGAUGUUGACGUA
rnacentral:rRNA from 1 species